UUACUGGCGUGAGGGCGGGUCAACCUGUCAAUCACAUGAGAUCACAGAAAAUGCAAACCACAACCAUUCAAUCAAAUCCCCAUGGAAAAAGUCCCAUCCUGCAGUUGUUCUUGUUCGAGAAGCGGUUUCACUGGGACACGCGUCACAACAGGGAAGAAAAGACUAUUGUAACUUCUGUUUCAUGCCGACUUCAAGCUGUCUUUAGUGACAGCCGCCAACUUUUGACAACCGCCAAUUUCUUUACACAGUGACAAGAACAGCAUUACGAAGUGGCCCUUCCUGCUGAGCUGUGGGAUUUCUUAGCCCCCAUUGUCAUGGAAAUUGAGGACCACAGAAAAGCAGAAUGGAUAUUCAACUUGCCUUGAAGUUCAAUGGAAGAAAGUUUGGAAUGACGUGAAGUUGAGUUAAUGACAGUGUUUCAAAACGAGGUCAGUUCUUUGACAGCACAAAUACAAAGCAGUAAUGUAUGGUUUUCCAGCGCGUGGGAGAACCUCACUUUGGAGACCAAG